rnacentral:rRNA from 1 species
AACGCACCUUGUGCCUCUUGGAGUUCCGAGGGGCACGCCCGUUUGAGUGUCAUGAACAUCCUUCAACCUUUCUUGGUUUCUCAAUCAAGGAAGGCUUGGACUUUGGGGGUUUUUCAUUGCUGCCUCUGUUGAAGCCAGCUCCUCCUAAAUGGAUUAGUAGGGUCUGCUUUGCCCGAUCCUUGACGUGAUAAGAUGUUUCUACGUCUUGGGUUUAGCACUGUCGCUUUGGACCCUGCUUCUAACCGUCUUGCAUUCAGGACAGUGUCAUGAACCUUGACCUCAAAUCGGGUGAGACUACCCGCUGAACUUAA